UGAAUUUCAGGAAAACAGCUCAAAAUGACACUUGGAACUGUCAAAAACAAGCAAUUUCCCGCGCCACGGGUAGAUAGCUAACCGAAUCACGUGACAAACCCUGAAUCCAGAAAUACGAAAGGAUUUCCUUUCGAGGGUUCAGGAAAACGAAAAAAAUCAGAAUAGAAAUCUCCUGUAUCUCACGACGUUGCUAAAAUAACAGUUGUGGUUUCGAAAUGUUUUUUUUGCGCUUUCAUUUGCUUGCUGUCGGUUUCAUCGUGGAAGUGGAAGCCUCUACUCGAAAAAGCGGAGUUUCUGGAAACCGUGCUGGAGGAAAAGUUCUCCCCGGAGGAUCCUCCGGCGCAGUUACAAAAUCAACUGCUCGCCGAAUGGUUCUGCGACGUUCAACUCGCAGCCCAGUUUUUCACCAUCAAACAUAUGGUUGAGCUGGCGAAAUAUAUGAAUUCUUAUGAACGUGCCAAUGAGACCAGCAGCGACGUCGUUAUUUUAUGAAUACAACUUUUUCUAAUAUUAUGCUGCUUCUCAUAAAGAAU